rnacentral:rRNA from 1 species
CCUACGGUAGGCAGCAGUGGGGAAUCUUCCGCAAUGGGCGAAAGCCUGACGGAGCAACGCCGCGUGAUCGAAUGAAGUCCUUCGGGUUGUAAAGAUCUGUUGACAGGGACGAAUCCGCCAUGCGAAUAGUUUGUUGUAUGACGGUACCUGUUUAGAACGCUCCGGCUAACUACGUGCCAGCAGCCGCGGUAAUACGUAGGGGGCAAGCGUUGUCCGGAAUUACUGGGCGUAAAGGGCGCGUAGGUGGGUGCUUAAGUCAGGUGUGAAAACUCUGGGCUCAACCUGGAGACUGCACUUGAAACUGGGGAGCUUGAGGGCAGGAGAGGAAAGUGGAAUUCGUAGUGUAGCGGUGAAAUGCGUAGAUAUUAGGAGGAACACCAGUGGCGAAGGCGACUUGCUGGACUGUACCUGACGCUGAGGCGCGAAAGCGUGGGUAGCGAACGGGAUUAGAUACCCGAGUAGUC